rnacentral:rRNA from 1 species
GAAUUACCGCGGUAAUACGGAGGGUGCAAGCGUUAAUCGGAAUUACUGGGCGUAAAGCGCACGCAGGCGGUCUGUCAAGUCGGAUGUGAAAUCCCCGGGCUCAACCUGGGAACUGCAUCCGAAACUGGCAGGCUAGCGUCUUGUAGAGGGGGGUAGAAUUCCAGGUGUAGCGGUGAAAUGCGUAGAGAUCUGGAGGAAUACCGGUGGCGAAGGCGGCCCCCUGGACAAAGACUGACGCUCAGGUGCGAAAGCGUGGGGAGCAAACAGGAUUAGAUACCCUGGUAGUCCACGCCGUAAACGAUGUCGACUUGGAGGUUGUGGCUUCCGGAGCUAACGCGUUAAGUCGACCGCCUGGGGAGUACGGCCGCAAGGUUAAAACUCAAAUGAAUUGACGGGGGCCCGCAAAAGCGGUGGAGCAUGUGGUUUAAUUCGAUGCAACGCGAAGAACCUUACCUACUCUUGACAUCCAUGAUCAAACUCU